UCCCUAAUAUGCUAAUCCAGGAAGCCUGCCCCCAAGCCUAGCCUCCACCACCGCCUUGUGCCUCUAUUGCCGCCGUGCCGUCCGUCGCACCCACCCCUGUUCGCUCUCAGACUCACCAGUCGCAGGCACGCUGUUUCUUCCUCGAGCGUCCGUCGUCUUCCUCUUCCCCUGGAGCUGCUGCAUGCCUGCAUACGAAGGAGGAAGGACAACACACCUGAAUCGAAACUGACGCCGGAGCUAGGGUCACUCACCGUCGCGGGUCACAUACUUAUCCUUAUUAGUGGUUACAUUCAUAUGAUUUUCUUAACAGUUAAUGAUUAUUUAUCCGCUUUGAUUUCCUUGACAUAACAUAAAUAGUUAGUAUUAUUAUAGUUAUAAAUGUUUUAAACUUUACUUGGCAGUGCUAAUCGAGGUGAUAGCUUAGAUCGCAAUAUUGAUGAAGAAAAUCGCUCAACAAAGGAUUUCUUGAUUCUUGAAGGUCAUGAGGAAGCUCAAGAAGAGUUGCCUAAGAAAGCAAAAAUCUUCUUUAGUACUGCAGUUCAGAACUGGGAUGCUGACUUUUAUGUGAAAGUUGAUGACAGUAUUGACAUUGAUCUGGAGGGAUUAAUUGACCUUCUUAACCGCCACCACGGUCAGGAUGGGGCAUAUAUUGGAUGCAUGAAAUCUGGAGAAGUGAUAUCAGAAGAGGGCAAGGCAUGCUACGAGCCUGAAUGGUGGAAAUUUGGGGAUGAAAAGUCGUAA